GUGCUCACUUUGGCAGCACAUAUACUAAAAUUGGAAUGAUAUAGAGAAGAUUUACAUGGCCCCUGAACAAGGAUGACAUGCAAAUUCAUGAAGAGUUCCCCAUUUUU
rnacentral:snRNA from 1 species